rnacentral:tRNA from 1 species
GAGGUGUUAGUAAAACCAUUACACUACCUUGUCAAGGCAGAGUUGCGAGUUAAAACCACGCACACCUUA